GCGGUGGUAGCUCAGUUGGGUGAGCGCCCGCUUCUCAAUCAAGAGAUGCGGGUUCGAAUCCCGAGGCUGACAUGUA
rnacentral:tRNA from 1 species